rnacentral:rRNA from 1 species
GCGAAAGCGAGUCCGAAUAGGGCGUUUGUAUUGGCAUGUUCUAGACCGAAAGCGGAGUGAUCUACCCAUGGCCAGGUGUGAAGCGACGGUAGACGUCGUGGAGGGCCCGAACCCACUUAGGUUGAAAACUGAGGGGAUGAGCUGUGGGUAGGGGUGAAAGGCCAAUCAAACUCCGUGAUAGCUGGUUCUCCCCGAAAUGCAUUUAGGUGCAGCGUCGCGUGUUUCACUCUGGAGGUAGAGCUACUGGAUGGCCGAUGGGCCCCACAAGGUUACUGACGUCAGCCAAACUCCGAAUGCCAGAGUGUGAGAGCCGCGGCAGUGAGACUGCGGGGGAUAAGCUUCGUAGUCGAGAGGAAAACAGCCCAGAUCGCCGGCUAAGGCCCCUAAGCGUGUACUAAGUGGAAAAGGAUGGGGGUCGCGAAGACAACCAGGAGGUUGGCUUAGAAGCAGCCACCCUUGAAAGAGUGCGUAAUAGCUCACUGGUCAAGUGAUCCUGCGCCGACAAUGUAGCGGGGGCUCAAGUACACCGCCGAAGCCGCGGCAUUCACAUAACACCCAUGCGGGUCUACGGGCCUGUGUGCAGUGGUGUGGAUGGGUAGGGGGAGCGUCGUGCAGCCAUGGAAGCGCCGGAGUGAUCCAGGUGUGGAGGCUGCACGAGUGAGAAUGCAGGCAUGAGUAGCGAAAGACGAGUGAGAAACUCGUCCGCCGAAUGACCAAGGGUUCCUGGGCCAGGUUAAUCCGCCCAGGGUGAGUCGGGACCUAAGGCGAGGCCGACAGGCGUAGUCGAUGGACAACGGGUUGAUAUUCCCGUACCCGUGUGAACGCGCCCCUGGUGAAUCAGUGAUGCUAAGCGCCCUGAAGCCGCCUUCGAACCUUCGGGUUCUCCGGUGUGUGGAUGCGCGUGAACCGAUCUGGUAGUAGCCAAGCGAUGGGGUGACGCAGGAAGGUAGCUGAGCCAGUCAGUGGUAAUACUGGUGUAAGCGUGUAGGGCGUGACCUAGGCAAAUCCGGGUCACAUGCAGCCUGAGACGUGAUGCGUAGCCGAUUGAGGCGAAUUCAGUGAUCCUAUGCUGCCGAGAAAAGCCUCUAGCGAGCUUUCACACGGCCCGUACCCCAAACCGACACAGGUGGUCAGGUAGAGAAUACUAAGGCGAUCGAGAUAACUGUGGUUAAGGAACUCGGCAAAAUGCCCCCGUAACUUCGGGAGAAGGGGGGCCUCGUCUGGUGACGGAACUUGCUUCCUGAGCUGGGUGGGGCCGCAGAGACCAGAGAGAAGCGACUGUUUACUAAAAACACAGGUCCGUGCGAAGUCGUAAGACGAUGUAUACGGACUGACGCCUGCCCGGUGCUGGAAGGUUAAGAGGACCGGUUAGCCAGUAAUGGCGAAGCUGAGAAUUUAAGCCCCAGUAAACGGCGGUGGUAACUAUAACCAUCCUAAGGUAGCGAAAUUCCUUGUCGGGUAAGUUCCGACCUGCACGAAUGGCGUAACGACUUCUCUGCUGUCUCAACCACAGACUCGGCGAAAUUGCAUUACGAGUAAAGAUGCUCGUUACGCGCGGCAGGACGAAAAGACCCCGGGACCUUCACUAUAGCUUGGUAUUGGUGUUCGGUUCGGUUUGUGUAGGAUAGGUGGGAGACUGUGAAGCGGGCACGCCAGUGUUCGUGGAGUCGUUGUUGAAAUACCACUCUGAUCGUAUUGGACAUCUAACCUCGGACCAUGAUCUGGUUCAGGGACAGUGCCUGGUGGGUAGUUUAACUGGGGCGGUUGCCUCCCAAAAUGUAACGGAGGCGCCCAAAGGUUCCCUCAGCCUGGUUGGCAAUCAGGUGUCGAGUGCAAGUGCACAAGGGAGCUUGACUGUGAGACUGACAGGUCGAGCAGGGACGAAAGUCGGGACUAGUGAUCCGGCACCGGCAAGUGGAAGCGGUGUCGCUCAACGGAUAAAAGGUACCCCGGGGAUAACAGGCUGAUCUUCCCCAAGAGUCCAUAUCGACGGGAUGGUUUGGCACCUCGAUGUCGGCUCGUCGCAUCCUGGGGCUGGAGUAGGUCCCAAGGGUUGGGCUGUUCGCCCAUUAAAGCGGCACGCGAGCUGGGUUUAGAACGUCGUGAGACAGUUCGGUCUCUAUCCGCCGCGCGCGUUAGAAACUUGAGGAAGGCUGUCCCUAGUACGAGAGGACCGGGACGGACGAACCUCUGGUGUGCCAGUUGUUCCGCCAGGAGCACUGCUGGUUAGCUACGUUCGGAAGGGAUAACCGCUGAAAGCAUCUAAGCGGGAAGCCUGUUCCAAGAUGAGGUUUCUCACCCCCUCGAGGGGGUAAGGCCCCCGGCAGACCACCGGGUUGAUAGGCCAGAACUGGAAGCACAGUAAUGUGUGGAGGUGACUGGUACUAAUAGGCCGAGGACUUACCACAA